rnacentral:rRNA from 1 species
GACGAACGCUGGCGGCGUGCUUAACACAUGCAAGUCGAACGAAGUGGCGAACGGGUGAGUAACGCGUAAUCAACCUGCCCUUCAGUGGGGGACAACAGUUGGAAACGACUGCUCAUACCGCAUACUGAAGGAGGGGAUUGCGUCUGAUUAGCUAGGUGGAGGGGUAACGGCCCACCAAGGCGAUGAUCAGGAGCCGGGCUGACGGGGUGAACGGGCAAAACGGGACUGAGACACGGCCCCGACUCCUACGGGAGGCAGCAGGGGGGAAACUUCCGCAAAGGACGAAAGGCUGACGGAGGAACGCCGCGUGAGUGAGGACGGCCUUCGGGUUGUAAAGCUCUGUUAAGCGGGACGCGGUACCGGAAUAGAAAGCCACGGCUAACUACGUGCCAGCAGCCGCGGUAAUAC